UACAGGGGGGGCAAGCGUUGUUCGGAAUUACUGGGCGUAAAGGGCUCGUAGGUGGCCAACUAAGUCAGACGUGAAAUCCCUCAGCUUAACUGGGGAACUGCGUCUGAUACUGGAUGGCUUGAGUUUGGGAGAGGGAUGCGGAAUUCCAGGUGUAGCGGUGAAAUGCGUAGAUAUCUGGAGGAACACCGGUGGCGAAGGCGGCAUCCUGGACCAACACUGACACUGAGGAGCGAAAGCCAGGGGAGCAAACGGG
rnacentral:rRNA from 2 species